rnacentral:rRNA from 1 species
ACUUAAAUUGAAGAGUUUGAUCAUGGCUCAGAUUGAACGCUGGCGGCAGGCCUAACACAUGCAAGUCGAACGGUAACAGGAAGCAGCUUGCUGCUUCGCUGACGAGUGGCGGACGGGUGAGUAAUGUCUGGGAAACUGCCCGAUGGAGGGGGAUAACUACUGGAAACGGUAGCUAAUACCGCAUAACGUCGCAAGACCAAAGAGGGGGACCUUCGGGCCUCUUGCCAUCGGAUGUGCCCAGAUGGGAUUAGCUUGUUGGUGAGGUAACGGCUCACCAAGGCGACGAUCCCUAGCUGGUCUGAGAGGAUGACCAGCCACACUGGAACUGAGACACGGUCCAGACUCCUACGGGAGGCAGCAGUGGGGAAUAUUGCACAAUGGGCGCAAGCCUGAUGCAGCCAUGCCGCGUGUAUGAAGAAGGCCUUCGGGUUGUAAAGUACUUUCAGCGGGGAGGAAGGGGUUAAGGUUAAUAACCUUAGCCAUUGACGUUACCCGCAGAAGAAGCACCGGCUAACUCCGUGCCAGCAGCCGCGGUAAUACGGAGGGUGCAAGCGUUAAUCGGAAUUACUGGGCGUAAAGCGCACGCAGGCGGUCUGUCAAGUCGGAUGUGAAAUCCCCGGGCUCAACCUGGGAACUGCAUUCGAAACUGGCAGGCUUGAGUCUCGUAGAGGGGGGUAGAAUUCCAGGUGUAGCGGUGAAAUGCGUAGAGAUCUGGAGGAAUACCGGUGGCGAAGGCGGCCCCCUGGACGAAGACUGACGCUCAGGUGCGAAAGCGUGGGGAGCAAACAGGAUUAGAUACCCUGGUAGUCCACGCCGUAAACGAUGUCUAUUUGGAGGCUGUUCCCUUGAGGAGUGGCUUCCGGAGCUAACGCGUUAAAUAGACCGCCUGGGGAGUACGGCCGCAAGGUUAAAACUCAAAUGAAUUGACGGGGGCCCGCACAAGCGGUGGAGCAUGUGGUUUAAUUCGAUGCAACGCGAAGAACCUUACCUGGUCUUGACAUCCACAGAACUUUCCAGAGAUGGAUUGGUGCCUUCGGGAACUGUGAGACAGGUGCUGCAUGGCUGUCGUCAGCUCGUGUUGUGAAAUGUUGGGUUAAGUCCCGCAACGAGCGCAACCCUUAUCCUUUGUUGCCAGCGGUUAGGCCGGGAACUCAAAGGAGACUGCCAGUGAUAAACUGGAGGAAGGUGGGGAUGACGUCAAGUCAUCAUGGCCCUUACGACCAGGGCUACACACGUGCUACAAUGGCAUAUACAAAGAGAAGCGACCUCGCGAGAGCAAGCGGACCUCAUAAAGUAUGUCGUAGUCCGGAUUGGAGUCUGCAACUCGACUCCAUGAAGUCGGAAUCGCUAGUAAUCGUGGAUCAGAAUGCCACGGUGAAUACGUUCCCGGGCCUUGUACACACCGCCCGUCACACCAUGGGAGUGGGUUGCAAAAGAAGUAGGUAGCUUAACCUUCGGGAGGGCGCUUACCACUUUGUGAUUCAUGACUGGGGUGAAGUCGUAACAAGGUAACCGUAGGGGAACCUGCGGUUGGAUCACCUCCUUACCUUAAAGAA